rnacentral:rRNA from 1 species
GACGAACGCUGGCGGCGUGCUUAACACAUGCAAGUCGUGCGGUAAGGCCCUUUCGGGGGUACACGAGCGGCGAACGGGUGAGUAACACGUGAGCAACCUGCCCUUCACUUUGGGAUAACUGCCGGAAACGGUGGCUAAUACCGGAUAUGACUUCCUCGCGCAUGUGGGGUGGUGGAAAGCCUUCGGGUGGUGGGGGAUGGGCUCGCGGUCUAUCAGCUUGUUGGUGGGGUGAUGGCCUACCAAGGCUUCGACGGGUAGCCGGCCUGAGAGGGUGACCGGCAACACUGGGACUGAGACACGGCCCAGACUCCUACGGGAGGCAGCAGUGGGGAAUAUUGGACAAUGGGCGAAAGCCUGAUCCAGCAACGACGCGUGAGGGAUGACGGCCUUCGGGUUGUAAACCUCUUUCGCCUGCGACGAAGAGAGAGUGACGGUAGCAGGUAAAGAAGCACCGGCCAACUACGUG